AAUAUUUAACUUCCAAAACUGCUCCACAGCACACAGGUGUAAUCGCUCAUGGAAGUGAAGUUUGCUCAAGAAAAAGAAGCAUUUGGGGCUUGCGUUUGUGAGUAAAGAGGACACUGGAGAGGCAGGUCGCACCUGCAGGACCUGCCAUGCCCCUGUCCGGCUCCAACCUUCAUUCCCCGUGGGGAUUUCUCAGGACCAGAUUGUACAAGAGUGGAACCGAAUGACCGCGCCUGCCCUCGAGCCCGGCAAGGCCCUGUCCUGGGUGCACCGGAACUUCCGGGAGGCUGCUGCACUUUUCCUGCUGCUUGUUUGCCCCGGAGCCCAAGGGGAGGAGGGCAGCAUUUUUCUACUUACGAGACGUGUACAGCGAUUCUUCUAAGGUCUGAUGUCUUCCACAUUGCCGGGUUUUGAUCAUUAGACCACCCCACCUAAGGUGACAGAGCUGGCAAGGGACACCAACUCCUGAGCACACUUUUUGAAUGCAAACCAGGGAUGGGGACAAUUCCCUCCAGAGUCUUCAAAUGAGCCAACCCUGAGCCUGCUCUGCACACCCCAUCCAUUCCUUCCUGCAGAUGCCACAGUCAAGUCUGGCUGGUGUCCUCGCUGUGCCCCGUGGCCCCUUGAUUGACUCUCAUGUCCCCCACAUGGCCCGGCCUUCCUCCUUUUGGGAACUAUAGUAUCCCCAGCUGUCCUUUGAUAAGUCAUCUGGUCUCUCAAUGUCA